CGUGGGGAGCAAACAGGAUUAGAUACCCUGGUAGUCCACGCUGUAAACGAUGUCGAUUUGGAGUUUGGGGGCAUGACCCUUGGGCUCCGGAGCUAACGCGUUAAAUCGACCGCCUGGGGAGUACGGCCGCAAGGUUAAAACUCAAAUGAAUUGACGGGGGCCCGCACAAGCGGUGGAGCAUGUGGUUUAAUUCGAUGCAACGCGAAGAACCUUACCUGGUCUUGACAUCCAUAGAAUCUUGUAGAGAUACGAGAGUGCCUUCGGGAGCUAUGAGACAGGUGCUGCAUGGCUGUCGUCAGCUCGUGUUGUGAAAUGUUGGGUUAAGUCCCGCAACGAGCGCAACCCUUAUCCUUUGUUGCCAGCGGGUAAUGCCGGGAACUCAAAGGAGACUGCCGUUGAUAAAGCGGAGGAAGGUGGGGACGACGUCAAGUCAUCAUGGCCCUUACGACCAGGGCUACACACGUGCUACAAUGGCGUAUACAAAGGGAGGCGAAGGUGCGAACUGGAGCGGACCUCACAAAGUACGUCUAAGUCCGGAUUGGAGUCUGCAACUCGACUCCAUGAAGUCGGAAUCGCUAGUAAUCGUGAAUCAGAAUGCCACGGUGAAUACGUUCCCGGGCCUUGUACACACCGCCCGUCACACCAUGGGAGUGGGUUGCACCAGAAGUAGAUAGCUUAACCGAAAGGAGGGCGUUUACCACGGUGUGAUUCAUGACUGGGGUGAAGUCGUAACAAGGUAACCA
rnacentral:rRNA from 1 species